CUUCAAUUUUCAAAUAACCCUCAAAAGAGGUCAACUGAAAAGCACCUCUGCACUCAUAAAAAGUCAUCCUUAAGCACGGAGGAGAGGAAAAACCCCCUGUGGAGGAAACCUCUGGGGAACCAUGGCUUGAAGGACUGCCCUUCCCUCUAGGCAUUAAAAAGUGUUUAUGAUAUAGAGCAAGGGUAGUCAACCUGGUCCCUACCGCCCACUAGUGGGUAUUUUGGGUUUUCAGGUGGCCGGUAGUGGGUUCUGCAGAAAACACCAAGUGGGCUUUGAUGGCCGUGGACCAAGGCACACACACAAACUUCCCCCUUACACACAUUGCCCCCCUCACACGCACACUGACCUUCUCACACACGCACACUGACCUUCUCACACACGCACUGCCCUUAUCACACACACAGCACCCUUCACACACAGCAUCCAUCACACACAUAUACACACACAGCACCCUUCACACACACAGCAAUUCACAGACGCACAGAAAAAAAAGUAGAAUAGAAAAUAGAAAAAAAGGGGGGGGGGAAAUAGAUACAUUUAAGUACAUAUUUAAAAAAA